rnacentral:rRNA from 1 species
AAUGGGCGCAAGCCUGAUCCAGCCAUGCCGCGUGAGUGACGACGGCCUUAGGGUUGUAAAGCUCUUUCAGAUGCGAAGAUAAUGACGGUAACAUCAGAAGAAGCUCCGGCUAAAUUCGUGCCAGCAGCCGCGGUAAUACGAAUGGAGCAAGCGUUGUUCGGAAUCACUGGGCGUAAAGCGUACGUAGGCUGAUUUUCAAGUCAGAAGUGAAAGCCCAGGGCUCAACCCUGGAACGGCUUUUGAAACUGGAAGUCUAGAGUCCCGGAGAGGUUAGGGGAAUUCCGAGUGUAGCAGUGAAAUGCGCAGAUAUUCGGAGGAACACCAGUGGCGUAGGCGCCUAACUGGACGGGAACUGACGCUGAGGUACGAAAGCGUGGGGAGCAAACAGGAUU